AUUGAACGCUGGCGGCAUGCUUUACACAUGCAAGUCGAACGGUAACAGGCCGCAAGGUGCUGACGAGUGGCGAACGGGUGAGUAAUGCAUCGGAACGUGCCCAGUCGUGGGGGAUAACGCAGCGAAAGCUGCGCUAAUACCGCAUACGAUCUAUGGAUGAAAGCGGGGGCCCGUAAGGCCUCGCGCGAUUGGAGCGGCCGAUGUCAGAUUAGGUAGUUGGUGGGGUAAAGGCUCACCAAGCCGACGAUCUGUAGCUGGUCUGAGAGGACGACCAGCCACACUGGGACUGAGACACGGCCCAGACUCCUACGGGAGGCAGCAGUGGGGAAUUUUGGACAAUGGGGGCAACCCUGAUCCAGCAAUGCCGCGUGCAGGAAGAAGGCCUUCGGGUUGUAAACUGCUUUUGUACGGAACGAAACGGCCCUGGUUAAUACCCGGGGCUAAUGACGGUACCGUAAGAAUAAGCACCGGCUAACUACGUGCCAGCCGCCGCCGUAAUAC
rnacentral:rRNA from 1 species